GACGAACGCUGGCGGCGUGCUUAACACAUGCAAGUCGAACGGAAAGGCCCUGCUUUUGUGGGGUGCUCGAGUGGCGAACGGGUGAGUAACACGUGAGUAACCUGCCCUUGACUUUGGGAUAACUUCAGGAAACUGGGGCUAAUACCGGAUAGGAGCUCCUGCUGCAUGGUGGGGGUUGGAAAGUUUCGGCGGUUGGGGAUGGACUCGCGGCUUAUCAGCUUGUUGGUGGGGUAGUGGCUUACCAAGGCUUUGACGGGUAGCCGGCCUGAGAGGGUGACCGGCCACAUUGGGACUGAGAUACGGCCCAGACUCCUACGGGAGGCAGCAGUGGGGAAUAUUGCACAAUGGGCGGAAGCCUGAUGAAGCAACGCCGCGUGCGGGAUGACGGCCUUCGGGUUGUAAACCGCUUUCGCCUGUGACGAAGCGUGAGUGACGGUAAUGGGUAAAGAAGCACCGGCUGACUACGUG
rnacentral:rRNA from 1 species